rnacentral:rRNA from 1 species
UACGUAGGGGGCAAGCGUUGUCCGGAAUUAUUGGGCGUAAAGAGCUCGUAGGCGGUCUGUCGCGUCUGCUGUGAAAACUCAGGGCUUAACCCUGAGCUUGCAGUGGGUACGGGCAGACUAGAGUGCGGUAGGGGAGACUGGAAUUCCUGGUGUAGCGGUGAAAUGCGCAGAUAUCAGGAGGAACACCGGUGGCGAAGGCGGGUCUCUGGGCCGAUACUGACGCUGAGGAGCGAAAGCGUGGGGAGCGAACAGG